rnacentral:rRNA from 1 species
GACGAACGCUGGCGGCGCGCUUAACACAUGCAAGUCGAGCGAGAACCAGGGCUUCGGCUCUGGGGACAGCGGCGAACGGGUGAGUAACACGUGAGUAAUCUGCCCUCGACACUGGGAUAGCCCGGGGAAACCCGGAUUAAUACCGGAUAGCCUUUCGAGCUCUCGGGCUCGUCAGAAAAGGAUGGCUUCGGCUUUCGGUUGAGGAUGAGCUUGCGGCGGAUUAGCUUGUUGGUGAGGAACGGCUCACCAAGGCGACAAUCCGUAGCUGGUCUGAGAGGACGAUCAGCCACACUGGGACUGAGACACGGCCCAGACUCCUACGGGAGGCAGCAGUGGGGGAAUCUUGCGCAAUGAGCGAAAGCUUGACGCAGCGACGCCGCGUGAGGGAAGAAGGCCUUC